UAUAACAGACUGAAAGGUUUACUCAACCCCCACCCUACCCAGUGGUUCCGUAUUGCCUUAUUUGCAUAAACAUUAGUAAUUUAUGAAUAAUAAAUGGUCUUGCGUUCAGUGGGAGCCAUUCAUUUGAAUAUCACCAUAGCACUACAGUUGUAUGUCCUGUGUGCGGUGUUAUCACGAAGCCCUUAAAGCCUGCAUAUUGAACCAAAAACAGAGGAAAUGCUAUAACAGGCUCAUCCUGACAUGACCCUCCAGCAUGACAAUGCCACCAGCCAUACUGCUCGUUCUGUGCGUGAUUUCCUGCAAGACAGGAAUGUCAGUGUUCUGCCAUGGCCAGCGAAGAGCCCGGAUCUCAAUCCCAUUGAGCACGUCUAGGACCUGUUGGAUCGGAGGGUGAGGGCUAGGGCCAUUCCCCCCAGAAAUGUCCGGGAACUUGCUGGUGCCUUGGUGGAAGAGUUGGGUAACAUCUCACAGCAAGAACUGGCAAAUCUGGUGCAGUCCAUGAGGAGGAGAUGCACUGCAGUACUUAAUGCAGCUGGUGGCCACACCUGAUACUGUUACUUUUGAUUUUGACCCCCCCUUUAUUCAGGGACACAUUAUUCAAUUUCUGUUAGUCACAUGUCUGUGGAACUUGUUCAGUUUAUGUCUCAGUUGUUGAAUCUUGUUAUUUUCGUACAAAUAUUUACACGUUAAGUUUGCUGAAAAUAAACGCAGUUGACAGUGAGAGGACAUUUCUUUCUUUGCAGAGUUUUACAAUCCAUGUCUCAAUUGUCUCAAGGCUCAAAAUCCUUCUUUAACCCUGGCUCAUCCUCUUCAUCUACACUGAUUGAGGUGGAUGUUACAAGUGACAUCAUAGCAUAAGGGAUCCUAGCUUUCACCUGGUCAGUCUAUGUCAUGGAAAGAGCAGAUGUCCUUAAUGUUUUGUAUAUUCAGUGUAUAUUGCCGUGUUUGUGUCUUUAUUGCUUUGAUUUGCAAAAUAUGAAGCAGGAAAAUCCUGACAAAUGAGAAAUACAUGCAUUUCCGCUCCCUAACAGAGUCUAAAUGAAGCUCAUAUCUUAUAUGAGUCAUGCCUAAAAAUGAUUUACAUAACGCAGAGGCAAGAUAUUUUUCUUAAAUCUAAAGCCAUUGGUUGAGGUUGAUGUAGAGUUUAUUUUCUAUACAUAGACUGUAUUGAAGCCAUGUCUGUAUCAGAACAAUGUUGUAUGAGUUGUAGGCUGAAGGUUUAGCAGUUGUUGUGGUUGUUGUGUGUGUCAUGGUGGGUGACACAGUGCUUAAUGCAUGUUUAAGUCCCAUUAUUCCUUGAUAUUGCAAAGACGGUCAGACUCUUGCUAUUAGUCUCUGCUGAGGUUAAGGUGCCCUAAGGCAACAGUAGAGAGAGUAUCAACAUCAGAAUAAAGGACUAUCUCUCCUC